rnacentral:rRNA from 1 species
CGCAAGCCUGACGGAGCAACGCCGCGUGGGGGAGGAAUGUCUGUGGAUUGUAAACCCCUUUUCUCAGGGAAGAAGAUCUGACGGUACCUGAGGAAUAAGCCUCGGCUAACUCCGUGCCAGCAGCCGCGGUAAUACGGAGGAGGCAAGCGUUGUCCGGAAUGAUUGGGCGUAAAGCGUCCGCAGGUGGCAAUGUAAGUCUGCUGUCAAAACCCAGGGCUCAACUCUGGUCAGGCAGUGGAAACUACAUAGCUAGAGUUCGGUAGGGGCAAAGGGAAUUCCCGGUGUAGCGGUGAAAUGCGUAGAUUUCGGGAAGAACAUCGGUGGCGAAAGCGCUCUGCUGGGCCGCAACUGACACUCAGGGACGAAAGCUAGGGGAGCG